UGGUUUUUGUGAGGUACCGGACUUCUAAAAUUAUGAAGUUACGGUGUACAUUUGGUUUGAAAGCCAUUUGAAUGAUUCCGGUGAGGUUGCGGUGGAAUGUAAUAUACCGGAUUUUAAAUAUAAAAAUGAAAAUAAAUAAAAAUAGUAUGAGAUACUAUUUUUAUUGGAUUUAGAGGAGUAAAACAUAAGUCAGAACUGACUUGUGUUGAAAUCAGAAUGAAAACAGAAAAUAUAGAAUUUUCUGUUGGAGACGGGACAGAAAAAUAAGCAGAAAAUGUACAGUCUCAGAAAAUUAUGAAAAUUGGCGGAGAUCUCAGAAAUAUUUUUAUGAGGCUAGAUUUAAAGUUUCAUAUUUUUUUGACACCCGUAGAGUGAGAAAUAAAAUCCGAGGGUUAUC
rnacentral:lncRNA from 1 species